AUGGAAUCCAGGAAGGAAAAUGGAAAUGAGAACUUCUUCUGCCUAGAAUGUUAGCUUCUUGAGAUCAGAGACUUUAUCUUGCUCACUGCUGAGUCUGCAGCUUUACCAGAGCGCUUGGCACAUAGUAGGGCUUUCAUAAGUAUGAAUGAAUGGAUGAAUAAAUAUUUCAAUCUGCAACAACUUUUCCAGGUGCUGACUGAGAAUCAAACCAUAAGAUGCAGAGUUGAAUCUUAAGAAACUUCAAUGGACUUUUAUAAUUGAGAACUGGAUCUUCACAUUUCUGAGGAAAAUGACAGUUUGUGACAGAGCACCUAACAAUGUGGCAAAUCAGGAUACAUAGACCACUUGGAAGACCAAACAUUGAACCCUAGCAGAAGGAAAGCAAUUCUGCCAACGGGGGGGAAAUGACACAUGAAAGCAAUGUUUCUCAAAGUGUAAUCUCCAGGAUGCUAGUUCCACAGCUAUUAAUGGGCCUUACUUAAUAAAGGUUUCAUGACAAAUAGUUUUGAGAAACGUGGGGUUCGAUGA